rnacentral:rRNA from 1 species
CCUACGGGGUGCAGCAGUGGGGAAUAUUGGACAAUGGGCGAAAGCCUGAUCCAGCCAUGCCGCGUGUGUGAAGAAGGCCUUCGGGUUGUAAAGCACUUUCAGUGGGGAAGAAAGCCUUGGGGCUAAUACCCUCGAGGAAGGACAUCACCCACAGAAGAAGCACCGGCUAACUCCGUGCCAGCAGCCGCGGUAAUACGGAGGGUGCGAGCGUUAAUCGGAAUUACUGGGCGUAAAGCGCGCGUAGGCGGUCUGAUAAGCCGGUUGUGAAAGCCCCGGGCUCAACCUGGGAACGGCAUCCGGAACUGUCAGGCUAGAGUGCAGGAGAGGAAGGUAGAAUUCCCGGUGUAGCGGUGAAAUGCGUAGGGAUCGGGAGGAAUACCAGUGGCGAAGGCGGCCUUCUGGACUGACACUGACGCUGAGGUGCGAAAGCGUGGGUAGCAAACAGGAUUAGAUACCCCAGUAGUC